AUUGAACGCUGGCGGCAUGCCUUACACAUGCAAGUCGAACGGUAACAGGUCUUCGGAUGCUGACGAGUGGCGAACGGGUGAGUAAUACAUCGGAACGUGCCCGAGAGUGGGGGAUAACGAGGCGAAAGCUUUGCUAAUACCGCAUACGAUCUCAGGAUGAAAGCAGGGGACCGCAAGGCCUUGCGCUCACGGAGCGGCCGAUGGCAGAUUAGGUAGUUGGUGGGAUAAAAGCUUACCAAGCCGACGAUCUGUAGCUGGUCUGAGAGGACGAACAGCGACACGGGGGCUGAGAAACGGCCCAGACUCCUACGGGAGGCAGCCGUGGGGAAUUGUGGACAAUGGGCGCAAGCCUGAUCCAGCCAAGCCGCGUGCAGGAUGAAGGCCUUCGGGUUGUAAACUGCUUUUGUACGGAACGAAAAGCCCUGGGUUAAUACCCGGGGGUCAUGACGGUACCGUAAGAAUAAGCACCGGCUAACUACGUGCCAGCCGCCGCCGUAACAC
rnacentral:rRNA from 1 species